CUUGUCGCGCACGUCGUGGGCGCUGUGCUCCUCGUCGAAGUAGAGCUUCUUCGUCUUGUCGACGUCCUGGACGCAGGGACCGCCUUCGGGGAUUGCCGCGUUAAUAAGGAGAGCUGGUCUACCUCGGAAUAGGACUUCUCGAUGGCCGACUUUUUAAUGCGUUUAUCAACCCCUCACCGGAUGUCCUCGAGGAGGUCGCACUCGUGCUGGUUCUUCGCUUGCAACUUCGAGGCCUG